UUUAUUUUUCUUUAGCAGCCAAAUUAGAUCAUUCACAAUUUGCUCGUACAUUCCUUGCACAAAAUAUUGGUCUUACAAGAUGACAAUAUAUAUCUGUUCCUCCAAAAACCCCUUGUCACUUCAAAUUUGAUUCAUAGAUGAGUCUGAGAAUACAUAAAAUUAGAAAUAUGGUACAAUUUUCCAAUUUGAAAAUUAACCUUUAACUCCAUAAAAGUAAGCAUCAAUAGAAUGUUUAUUCAAAGAGAUUAACGCACAGAUUAUGUUCAAAUUUUCUAAUGACACAGCCAUGGAAUGAGAUAGAGUAAAUCUGAAAAAAUACAGUGAAAUUUUAUCAUAAAAGGAAAGUUCGAAAACCUUUAUUAUAUGACAAAAGGAAAAACCCAUCAUGCUACGAUUGGGAGCAAAACGGUGAGUUUGUAUAUUUAUACCAAACACAUCAACAAGUAUUAUGCGAAAGCCCUACAGAUCUCAAAGUGACACAGCUUCAUAAACAAACAAGAUCUUAAAAGGGACUCAUAAAGAAAUAGAAACCGGGGGGGGGGGGGGGGGGGGGGGGGAUCUGGAGAAACCAGAAAUAUCCAUGAAAUAAAAGAAGCACUCAUGGGCAGUGUAUUUCGACAAAAGUACAGACAUACCUACUGAGAAAACUGAAGGUUACAGAUUUCAUCAUCACUGAAAAUGAAAUCUUUAGUUAACUCAAAGUUUGACAUCAUAUUACCUCAUAGAUCAUAGCCAAAAUUGCUUGUCUCGAACCUGGCAACAGAUUUUUUUUAAAAAAAAGGCUAAUCACAUCCGAAGUUAAAAGUGCUUUAAUUAAAAAAAUAUAAUAAAGGGAUCUUUUAGUUAUGCAUUAUUCUGUGGCCUUGUGGGAGCAAAGGGUAUAUAAUUUAGCCACUUAUCGCUGCUGCAGCAUCAUCAAGAUUCCAAAACAAAGAGCAAUUUGAAGUGAAGCAAGGGGCCAAAAAAAAAAAAAAAUAGCCACCAUUAUCUCCACUCACUAACCCUAAUAGUUUGUGAAUCUUGAUGGUGCUCCAACUGCAAACAGUGGCUGCUAUUUCUUUAGACCUUCAUCAUUGCCACCAUCAUCAUCUGCCAUGGAAGUGAAAAGAACAAGAGAGAAAAAGAAAGAGUGACACCUUUUUGAAAAAACCCUAAACCCAAAAAAACCACCCCAUGAAAGGAAAAGUUAAAGAAAAAGCAAAAGGCAUACAAAAAAUAAUUAAAUGUUCGAAAGUAAAAACCUAGGUCUAGGUAUGUGAAAUUAUUACAAAACCCCACUUGUUACAAAAAGCCAAAGAAAACUAGAAAAAGGACUCAAAGUAAGAGAUAGGAUAAUUUUGCGAGAUGUGAGAUUUGAAGAGUGCGAAGGGUGUCAAUUUAUAGAGAUUUUACAAGAGGAAGAGUGGUGAGUAAUGAAUAGGAGAUAAGGGAAUUGGUUGGUGCAGAGAGAUUGGUCGGUCAAGAGAGAGAUACAGAGAGAAGGAUUGGGUACCAAGAACAGUUAUGCAUCAUAAUCCUAGAUACCAAAUUUACCAAAAGCUAAUUAAUUCACUGUGACCCAGCUCCUGUUUUUGUACAGAUGUUAAUAGAACAGUGGCCCAAUUUGAGAAAGGAUAGUGAAAACUUACCAUAUGGUAAUACUGGGGGUUUGGUUUUGUUUGUGAUUGUGUGGGAUAUAAGCUUGCGUUGCGUCUUCAAGAAUCAAGUUGUGGAGGUGAGGUGACAGGGCCUUGUUCUUUUGAACUGACUCUGACUUGACCCCUUGGCCAAAUAAUUAAAGGUGGCGCCUUUGCCCUAUCUAGGGUUUCAGAUUUUCAGAUGCUUCGUCGUUUGGAGCCCUAACUUUUUCAUUUUGAGUUCCUAUUCUUCUUGCUAUAUUCUUGAAGGAAGUUUUGCAAGUUUAUGGCUUUUUAUGGAUCCUUUUUAAGUUUUUAUGUUUAGUCUUACUCCUUUUAGACUGCCGAGAGCUCAUUUCUACUUCUCUCUUAGUCUCUCAUCAAUGCCUCUGAUUCUUUUUACAUUUUUUUAUAAGGCCAUAUGCAUGUGUUGUAAUAGAUUGAUUUGCUCAUUUACUGAAACAUAAUUACACAAGACAUGAAAUUCUUCUAUUCUUGAAUAUGGUAUAUAUUCAAUGUAAAGCUAAUCAAGUAUUUAAG
rnacentral:lncRNA from 1 species